rnacentral:rRNA from 1 species
CCUACGUGAGGCAGCAGUGGGGAAUAUUGCACAAUGGGGGAAACCCUGAUGCAGCGACGCCGCGUGAGUGAAGAAGUAAUUCGUUAUGUAAAGCUCUAUCAGCAGGGAAGAAAAUGACGGUACCUGAGUAAGAAGCCCCGGCUAACUACGUGCCAGCAGCCGCGGUAAUACGUAGGGGGCAAGCGUUAUCCGGAUUUACUGGGUGUAAAGGGAGCGUAGACGGCAGUGCAAGUCUGGAGUGAAAGGCGGGGGCUCAACCCACGGACUGCUCUGGAAACUGUACGGCUGGAGUGCAGGAGAGGUAAGUGGAAUGCCUGGUGUAGCGGUGAAAUGCGUAGAUAUUAGGAGGAACACCAGUGGCGAAGGCGGCUUACUGGACUGUAACUGACGUUGAGGCUCGAAAGCGUGGGGAGCAAACAGGAUUAGAUACCCUUGUAGUC